rnacentral:rRNA from 1 species
CGGACGGGUGAGUAAUGCCUAGGAAUCUGCCUGGUAGUGGGGGACAACGUUUCGAAAGGAACGCUAAUACCGCAUACGUCCUACGGGAGAAAGCAGGGGACCUUCGGGCCUUGCGCUANCAGAUGAGCCUAGGUCGGAUUAGCUAGUUGGUGAGGUAAUGGCUCACCAAGGCGACGAUCCGUAACUGGUCUGAGAGGAUGAUCAGUCACACUGGAACUGAGACACGGUCCAGACUCCUACGGGAGGCAGCAGC